rnacentral:rRNA from 1 species
CCUACGGGUGGCAGCAGUGAGGAAUAUUGGUCAAUGGACGAGAGUCUGAACCAGCCAAGUAGCGUGAAGGAUGACUGCCCUAUGGGUUGUAAACUUCUUUUAUAUGGGAAUAAAAUGUUCCACGUGUGGGAUUUUGUAUGUACCAUAUGAAUAAGGAUCGGCUAACUCCGUGCCAGCAGCCGCGGUAAUACGGAGGAUCCGAUCGUUAUCCGGAUUUAUUGGGGUUAAAGGGAGCGUAGGUGGAUUGUUAAGUCAGUUGUGAAAGUUUGCGGCUCAACCGUAAAAUUGCAGUUGAAACUGGCAGUCUUGAGUACAGUAGAGGUGGGCGGAAUUCGUGGUGUAGCGGUGAAAUGCUUAGAUAUCACGAAGAACUCCGAUUGCGAAGGCAGUUCACUGGACUGCAACUGAGACUGAGGCUCGAAAGUGUGGGUAUCAAACAGGAUUAGAUACCCUAGUAGUC